rnacentral:misc_RNA from 1 species
GAUGAAGAACGUAGCGAAAUGCGAUAAGUAGUGUGAAUUGCAGAAGUACCGUGAAUCAUCGAAUCUUUGAACGCAAAUUGCACUCUCUGGUAUUCCGGGGAGUAUGCCUGUUUGAGGGUCGCUUAACAAACCAUCGAUUUCGUUGCUUUUUUUUUUAAAGUGAUGUUUAUCGGAUUUGAGCCGUCUUUUUUUUAUAUUUUAGUGGCUUAAAAUUGAUUUUUUUGGUACGAUCGAAGCGUAUUUUUAUGAUCAAUUUUUGGUUAAAGAAACGCACACGUACCGUUAUUUAUAUGAUGUAAUACGUUUGACUAUUGGAUUUAGUUCAUUCGUAUACGAUAUCUUUCAAUAUUUGACCUCAAAUCAGGUAAGAACACCCGCUGAACUUAAGCAUAUCAAUAAGCGGAGGA